UCUAAGGAAAGUAUAGAAUGUAAACACCGCCGUCUUUGAAUCUCUUCUUCUUAAACUUGAAAUAAAGAGUUUGCUACAGCUAAAGGCGCGUAGCUCAGUUGGUUAGAGCGCACGACUGAUAAUCGUGAGGUCGGCAGUUCAAAUCUGCCCGUGCCUACCACUGUUUCUAGUAAGUUUAAGAUAUAUUAAUAGUUGAGAUAAGAAUUGAUGUAAUAUCAAUCUGAUUGAAAUAGUUGGUGAAGAUGAUCCCAAAUAAUAGGGCAAUAUAGCACAAUAUAUUGUCCAGCUUACGGAUUGUACUUAAAAUUACAUUUCAAGAUUAUGUUUUUUUAAAGUAGUAAUGGUUGUCUGACCGGUUACUACUUUCAUGUA
rnacentral:misc_RNA from 1 species